rnacentral:misc_RNA from 1 species
UCUCCGUAGGUGAACCUGCGGAGGGAUCAUUACCGAGUGAGGGCCUCCAGGCCCGACCUCCAACCCUUUGUGAACCACAGCCUGUUGCUUCGGGGGCGACCCUGCCGUCACGGCACCGGCGCCCCCGGGGGACACUUAACACUGCAUCUUUGCGUCGGAGUUUAAACAAAUUAAACAAAACUUUCAACAACGGAUCUCUUGGUUCUGGCAUCGAUGAAGAACGCAGC